rnacentral:rRNA from 1 species
CGGACGGGUGAGUAACGCGUGGGUAACCUACCCUGUACACACGGAUAUCAUACCGAAAGGUAUGCUAAUACGGGAUAAUAUAUUUGAGAGGCAUCUCUUGAAUAUCAAAGGUGAGCCAGUACAGAAUGGACCCGCGUCUGAUUAGCUAGUUGGUAAGGUAACGGCUUACCAAGGCGACGAUCAGUAGCCGACCUGAGAGGGUGAUCGGCCACAUUGGGACUGAGACACGGCCCAA